rnacentral:rRNA from 1 species
UUACGAGAAACUCAAAUUAAUAAAGUCGGCUCAAAGGGUGGUUAAACACACAAAUUAAAUAAGGCUAAAAGCUAACUCUGCUGUCGCACGCAAUAGUUAAAAUAAAUUCGACUUCGAAAGUAACCUUACUAAAAUAAGCUUGAACCCACGACAACUAGGAAACAAACUGGGAUUAGAUACCCCACUAUGCCUAGUUAUAAACUUUGACUUAUCCGCCAGAAUACUACGAGCAACAGCUUAAAACUCAAAGGACUUGGCGGUGCUCCACACCCCCCUAGAGGAGCCUGUUCUAUAAUCGAUAUUCCUCGAUAAACCUCACCAUCUAUUGCCAAUACAGCCUAUAUACCACCGUCCAGCCCACCCUUCAAAGGACUAACAGUAGGCACAACUAUAAACAUAAAAACGUCAGGUCAAGGUGUAGCAUAUAAGAUGGGAAGAAAUGGGCUACAUUUUCUAACUUAGAAAAUUACGGAAAAGCUUGUGAAACAAAACUAUAAAGGAGGAUUUAGCAGUAAAAAGAAAAAAGAGUGUUCUUUUUAAACCGGCAAUGGAGCGCGCACACACCGCCCGUCACCCUCUUCAAACAACCAAAGCAAUAAAUAAACAAAUAAACCUAAAAAGAAGAGGCAAGUCGUAACAUGGUAAGUCUACCGGAAGGUGAACUUGGAACAUC